CGUGGAAUUUGAUAUUUUAUAGUAAAACUAUAUAGACAAUCAACGAACUAUACGUCUAACAGAUUAUUUUUGUGUCGUUGAAAACGAUCUGGACAACUUAGCCUAUCAGAGUGGAUGAUAACAUAUUAUUAUCCUCUUUUAACUAGUCAUUUCGCUCUGAUUGCUCAGUGUUUGCGGUUUUUUCAUUGCAAUGAGCACCUCUUGUACCAUGAAAAUCGUUCGGUUUAAAGCAAAAAGCAGAAAUAUUAUUCGGCGCAAUCAGACACUAUAUAGAGUGGCUUGUCUGUUCGUAAACUCACUGAGAAAUUCGGCAUUGGGAAAACGCAAAAAGCCAAACGAAUUUUACUAUAAAAGUUUUAAAACAUUUCUAUAGUGGACAUUUUUGAUGGUCCUGUGAGUUUCUGUUAUAGGCAGGUUCCAUUCUAUUAAAGUUUCGUUAAUUUUUUUUAGAUUAUGGUCCUGUCGGUGUAUAAAUAAUAGCAAUGCCGUCGUCGUGUGUUAACUUUUACUGUUCGAAUAACGUUUGAAAAGUUCACGUACAGGUUUUCACAAUAUUCCAUAAAAUUAAUGAAAUUAUGUAUAGGAAAUGUUCAAAUCCUGCAAAGACACUCUGUAUGAUACAUACAUAUAUAUAACAAGGUAACGGCCUAUACAAUUAUAUCUAUACAUUUUGAUAUUGUUCUUUAAGGGUUUAUUGAGGAGG